GUGUAGCUUAAUUAAAGCAUCUCGCUUACACCGAAAAUAUAUCUGUUAAACCCGGAUCACCUUGAA
rnacentral:tRNA from 1 species